rnacentral:rRNA from 1 species
GACGAACGCUGGCGGCGUGCUUAACACAUGCAAGUCGAACGGUGAAGGGGCCUGCUUUUGUGGGCCCUGGAUGAGUGGCGAACGGGUGAGUAACACGUGAGUAACCUUCCCCCUUCUUCUGGAUAACCGCAUGAAAGUGUGGCUAAUACGGGAUAUUCUGGGUCUGUCGCAUGAUGGGUCUGGGAAAGAUUGCGCCUUUGGGUGUUUUUGGUGGGGGAUGGGCUCGCGGCCUAGCAGCUUGUUGGUGGGGGGCUGGCCUACCAAGGCGGUGGCGGGUAGCCGGCCUGAGAGGGGGGACGGUCACACUGGGACUGAGACACGGCCCAGACUCCUACGGGAGGCAGCAGUGGGGAAGAUUGCACAAUGGGCGCAAGCCUGAUGCAGCGACGCCGCGUGAGGGAGGGAGGCCUUCGGGUUGUAAACCUCUUUCGCCAGUGAAGCAGGCCUGCUCCUUGUGGGUGGGUUGACGGUAGCUGGAGAAGAAGCGCCGGCUAACUACGUG